rnacentral:SRP_RNA from 1 species
GUUUAAGGAUAUGAUGGCGUAAGCUGUCGAACCGUGUCAGGAUGGAAACAUAGCAGCACUAAGACAAUCCUUGCGGGUGUUGUAUUCUUAAAAAGA